UACGUAGGGUGCGAGCGUUGUCCGGAAUUACUGGGCGUAAAGAGCUCGUAGGUGGUUUGUCGCGUCGUCUGUGAAAUUCCGGGGCUUAACUUCGGGCGUGCAGGCGAUACGGGCAUAACUUGAGUGCUGUAGGGGAGACUGGAAUUCCUGGUGUAGCGGUGGAAUGCGCGGAUAUCAGGAGGAACACCGAUGGCGAAGGCAGGUCUCUGGGCAGUAACUGACGCUGAGGAGCGAAAGCAUGGGGAGCGAACAGG
rnacentral:rRNA from 1 species